AAGCGUGCGCAGGCGGUUAUGUAAGACAGAUGUGAAAUCCCCGGGCUCAACCUGGGAACUGCAUUUGUGACUGCAUGGCUAGAGUACGGUAGAGGGGGGAUGGAAUUCCGCGUGUAGCAGUGAAAUGCGUAGAUAUGCGGAGGAACACCGAUGGCGAAGGCAAUCCCCUGGACCUGUACUGACGCUCAUGCACGAAAGCGUGGGGAGCAAACAGGAUUAGAUACCCGUGU
rnacentral:rRNA from 1 species